UACGAAGGGGGCUAGCGUUGCUCGGAAUCACUGGGCGUAAAGCGCACGUAGGCGGACUCUUAAGUCAGGGGUGAAAUCCUGGAGCUCAACUCCAGAACUGCCCUUGAUACUGGGAGCCUUGAGUUCGGGAGAGGUGAGUGGAACUGCGAGUGUAGAGGUGAAAUUCGUAGAUAUUCGCAAGAACACCAGUGGCGAAGGCGGCUUCCUGGACCGGUUCUGACACUGAGGAGCGAAAGCGUGGGGAGCGAUCCGG
rnacentral:rRNA from 1 species